rnacentral:rRNA from 1 species
CUGGGCUUGACAUGGACUAGAAAUCCUCAGAGAUGAGGGCUCCCUUGUGGCUGGUUCACAGGUGGUGCAUGGCUGUCGUCAGCUCGUGUCGUGAGAUGUUGGGUUAAGUCCCGCAACGAGCGCAACCCUCGUUCCAUGUUGCCAGCGCGUAGUGGCGGGGACUCAUGGGAGACUGCCGGGGUCAACUCGGAGGAAGGUGGGGAUGACGUCAAGUCAUCAUGCCCCUUAUGUCCAGGGCUUCACACAUGCUACAAUGGCCGGUACAAAGGGCUGCUAAGCCGUGAGGUGGAGCGAAUCCCAUAAAGCCGGUCUCAGUUCGGAUCGGGGUCUGCAACUCGACCCCGUGAAGUCGGAGUCGCUAGUAAUCGCAGAUCAGCAACGCUGCGGUGAAUACGUUCCC